UACGUAGGGUGCAAGCGUUGUCCGGAAUUAUUGGGCGUAAAGAGCUCGUAGGCGGUUUGUUGCGUCGGCUGUGAAAUCCCGAGGCUCAACCUCGGGUCUGCAGUCGAUACGAGCAAACUAGAGUGUUGCAGGGGAGACUGGAAUUCCUGGUGUAGCGGUGAAAUGCGUAGAUAUCUGGAGGAACACCGGUGGCGAAGGCGGCAUCCUGGACCGACAUUGACGCUGAGGCGCGAAAGCCAGGGGAGCAAACGGG
rnacentral:rRNA from 1 species